rnacentral:rRNA from 1 species
ACGCUCGACACCUAGGCAGCAGUGGGGAAUAUUGCACAAUGGGGGAAACCCUGAUGCAGCGACGCCGCGUGGAGGAAGAAGGUCUUCGGAUUGUAAACUCCUGUUGUUGGGGAAAAAGAGGAUGGUACCCAACAAGGAAGUGACGGCUAACUACGUGUCAGCAGCCGCGGUAAUCUGAGCGGGCUGGCAAGGC